UACAGAGGGGGCAAGCGUUGUUCGGAAUUACUGGGCGUAAAGGGCGCGUAGGCGGCCUGUUAAGUCGAACGUGAAAUCCCCGGGCUCAACCCGGGAACUGCGUCCGAUACUGGCAGGCUUGAAUUCGGGAGAGGGAUGUGGAAUUCCAGGUGUAGCGGUGAAAUGCGUAGAUAUCUGGAGGAACACCGGUGGCGAAGGCGGCAUCCUGGACCGAUAUUGGACGCUGAUGCGCGAAAGCCAGGGGAGCAAACGGGG
rnacentral:rRNA from 1 species